CUACGGGUCGCACCAGUGGGGAAUAUUGGACAAUGGGCGCAAGCCUGAUCCAGCAAUACCGCGUGUGUGAAGAAGGCCUGCGGGUUGUAAAGCACUUUCAAUUGUGAAGAAAAGCCUGGGAUUAAUACCCUCGGGUCUUGACGUUAACUUUAGAAGAAGCACCGGCGAACUCCGUGCCAGCAGCCGCGGUAAUACGGAGGGUGCGAGCGUUAAUCGGAAUUACUGGGCGUAAAGCGUGCGUAGGCGGCUAGGUCAGUCAGAUGUGAAAGCCCCGGGCUUAACCUGGGAACUGCAUUUGAUACUGCCUGGCUAGAGUAUGGUAGAGGGAAGUGGAAUUCCGGGUGUAGCGGUGAAAUGCGUAGAUAUCCGGAGGAACACCAGUGGCGAAGGCGACUUCCUGGACCAAUACUGACGCUGAGGUACGAAAGCGUGGGUAGCAAACAGGAUUAGAUACCCCGGUAGUC
rnacentral:rRNA from 1 species